rnacentral:rRNA from 1 species
ACUCAAAGGAAUAGACGGGGACCCGCACAAGCGGUGGAUUAUGUGGAUUAAUUCGAUGCAACGCGAAAAACCUUACCUACCCUUGACAUGUCCCGGAGGCGAGAGAGAUCUCGCUGUGCCCGAAAGGGAACGGGAACACAGGUGCUGCAUGGCUGUCGUCAGCUCGUGUCGUGAGAUGUUGGGUUAAGUCCCGCAACGAGCGCAACCCUUGUCAUUAGUUGCUACAUUUGGUUGGGCACUCUAAUGAGACUGCCGGUGACAAACCGGAGGAAGGUGGGGAUGACGUCAAGUCCUCAUGGCCCUUAUGGGUAGGGCUUCACACGUAAUACAAUGGCGCGUACAGAGGGUAGCCAAGGAGCGAUCCGGAGCCAAUCCCUAGAAAGCGCGUCGUAGUCCGGAUUGCAGUCUGCAACUCGACUGCAUGAAGUCGGAAUCGCUAGUAAUCGCGGAUCAGCAUGUCGCGGUGAAUACGUUCCCGGGUCUUGUACACACCGCCCGU